UACGUAGGGCGCAAGCGUUGUCCGGAAUUAUUGGGCGUAAAGAGCUCGUAGGCGGCCUGUUGCGUCCGCUGUGAAAGCCCGGGGCUUAACCCCGGGUCGGCAGUGGAUACGGGCAGGCUAGAGGUAGGUAGGGGAGACUGGAAUUCCUGGUGUAGCGGUGAAAUGCGCAGAUAUCAGGAGGAACACCGAUGGCGAAGGCAGGUCUCUGGGCCGAUACUGACGCUGAGGAGCGAAAGCGUGGGGAGCGAACAGG
rnacentral:rRNA from 1 species